GAUGAACGCUGGCGGCGUGCUUAACACAUGCAAGUCGAACGGAAAGGCCCAAGCUUGCUUGGGUACUCGAGUGGCGAACGGGUGAGUAACAAGUGGGUGAUCUGCCCUGCACUUCGGGAUAAGCCUGGGAAACUGGGUCUAAUACCGGAUAGGACGAUGGUUUGGAUGCCAUUGUGGAAAGUUUUUUCGGUGUGGGAUGAGCUCGCGGCCUAUCAGCUUGUUGGUGGGGUAAUGGCCUACCAAGGCGUCGACGGGUAGCCGGCCUGAGAGGGUGUACGGCCCCAUUGGGACUAGGAUACGGCCCAGACCCCAACGGGAGGCAACGGUGGGGAAUAUUGCACAAUGGGGGCAAGCCUGAUGCAGCGCCGCCGCGUGGGGGAUGCCGGCCUUCGGGUUGAAAACCCCUUUCGCUAGGGAAGAAGCGUUUUUGUGACGGUCCCUGGAAAAGAAGCACCGGCUAACUACGU
rnacentral:rRNA from 1 species